AUACUAUGUACUAACUAUACCACAACUUUAUAAGACAAACCAUAAUCAGAUUAGUAAUGCCAAAAAAAUUCUGACUUUUCUAGACUACCGCAAGGUACACUAAAACUAUAACCCUAGAAGUGACUAACUCACCUACCUUUUGCAUAAUGUAAUUGCAAGAACAAAAGAUUUAUCUAUCCUUUCCCGAAAAGUGGAGAGCUACUACAAACAUUUAACCAUUAAUGUAACACUAUUAAAACACAGUUUAUAGUAGCAGCAAAAUACCUAUCGAGCCACUUGAUAGCUGGUUGUCCCUUAAAGACAUAUAAGUGUCUUUUUACAGAAAAAAAUAAAAUAAUUCUUCUGUAAAAAAAACUCUAAGAAGGACAAGCCCCUUAGAGCCCCUAGAAAUAGCAGAAUAAUAACACCUCAGAAAGGCUUAAAAACAGCCAAAAAUAUCCGUUAUAGGAAAUGACACUAAAAAUCAAAAUAAAUUACUAAAUUCUUAACCAUCAAGGAACCUUACAGACUAACCAACCCUUUAAUGAACCGGCAAUUAUUAGUAUCACAAAGUUUAUUAAAAAGGUUCAUCCAAUAUAAAUAAAACAACCUAAAAAUAACUCUAACACUUUAAUUUACCUUUGGUAAUGAACUCGGCAAAACUUUUCUCUGCCUGUUUAUCAAAAACAUCGUCUUUUGCCAUUACACCCAUAAAAGAUACUGCC
rnacentral:rRNA from 1 species